UACGUAGGGUGCAAGCGUUAAUCGGAAUUACUGGGCGUAAAGCGUGCGCAGGCGGUGAUGUAAGACAGGUGUGAAAUCCCCGGGCUUAGCCUGGGAACUGCAUUUGUGACUGCAUAGCUAGAGUACGGUAGAGGGGGGAUGGAAUUCCGCGUGUAGCAGUGAAAAUGCGUAGAUAUGCGGAGGAACACCGAUGGCGAAGGCAAUCCCCCUGGACCUGUACUGACGCUCAUGCACGAAA
rnacentral:rRNA from 1 species